GACGAACGCUGGCGGCGUGCUUAACACAUGCAAGUCGAACGGAAAGGCCCUGCUUUUGUGGGGUGCUCGAGUGGCGAACGGGUGAGUAACACGUGAGUAACCUGCCCUUGACUUUGGGAUAACUUCAUGAAACUGGGGCUAAUACCGGCUAGGAGCUCCUGCUGCAUGGUGGGGGUUGGAAAGUUUCGGCGGUUGGGGGUGGACUCGCGGCGUAUCAGCUUGGUGGUGGGGUAGUGGCUUACCAAGGCUUGGCCGGGUAGCAGGCCUGAGCGGGUGACAGGCCACAUUGGGACUGAGAUACGGCCCAGACUCCUACGGGAGGCAGCAGUGGGGAAUAUUGCACAAUGGGCGGAAGCCUGAUGCAGCAACGCCGCGUGCGGGAUGACGGCCUUCGGGUUGUAAACCGCUUUCGCCUGUGACGAAGCGUGAGUGACGGUAAUGGGUAAAGAAGCACCGGCUAACUACGUG
rnacentral:rRNA from 1 species